rnacentral:lncRNA from 1 species
GUUGGCACAACCAAGUAGACCAUGUGGGCAUCAAGGCUGGUUCUCCUGGCUGUGACUACUGCUGUAUUCGGGGAGCUUGCCUGGGCUCUGAAAUGUUUCAGCUGCCCGCAGCCCACCAACAUCUCCGAGUGCACUACUAUUGUGAACUGUGCCCCUGAGGAGACCAUGUGCAAGACGACUAUGUAUUCCCUGGAGGAAGUGUACCCGUUCUUGGGAGAUGCUACAGUCACAAAGGCAUGUGCCCGGAAGUGUGUGCCCUCAGAUGUGGAUGGCAUCGGUCUGACUCGGCCUGUCUCAUGCUGUAACCAAGAUCUAUGCAACAAGGGAGGGGCUGCUGCUCUGGGGAGCUUUGGGGGGCUGGUCUUCACCCUCCUUGUCAUUACCUUCCUCCUCCUAUACACUAGAAUCUAGAGGGGCAGGGCCGGACAAGGGUUUCCCUCUCCCUUCUUCCAAUUCUUAGAGUUUCCUUUUCAAUAUCCAGCACCCCUAACUCCCCCUGUCUUUAUCAUUAUAGAUAGUGGGAGAGAAAGGUGUCACCAGUCUGAGGGGAAAAUGGAAUUUCUGUCCUCGAGAACUCCCAGUCUGAGGGGGAGAUUCAGUCGUGUCCUUCAGGGAGUUCCGGGCUGAGCCAAGUAGAUACAGCCUUUUCUCUCUUUUUCUGACUGCUCUCCACCUGGUUUACACAUCUAUAAAAUAGGGAUCAUAGCACCUACCUCACAGGGUUGUUAAAAGGAUCAAUUGAGAUAAGACAUGUAAAGCACUUACAAACUAUAAAAUGCUAUGAGAAUCUUGUUGUUAGCUAUCAUCAUCAUCAUCAUCAUUAUCUCCACUUGUCUAUUUUUCUUUCUCCCAAUCUCCUUUCUGUUUCUCUCUGUGUCCUUUCUACCUGCCUUUCUCUCCUCUCUGUCUGUUCUUGCUUUUACUGGCUAUUGAUCUCUAUCCACUGUCUCCUCUUUUUGCUGUGUCUCCACUCACAGUGUGUCUCCUUCCACCCGACAAUUAAAGGUGCCCUACAACAGACUAGCUGACCUGAUCAGUCUAUCCAAAUCAGUGGAGCUGUUCAAGCACGGACUGAACGGCCAUUUAUUAGGGGAUGUUUCAGAAGGAAUUCUUAACUUUUCCAAGGAGGGGAAGCUCCUCAUUUCUAAGGAUCAAGUUCUUCACUGAAAAAAAGGGGGGUAAAAAUUACUACCUACCUCAAAGGAUUGUUGUAAAGGAAGGUUUUGUGAGCCUGAAAGCUCUACAGAAAUGCGACUCCUUAUAUUCACACAGAAUUAAAGAGCACAGGACGCAUCAAUCCCGAAAACACAAAUAUCCACAUAUGCACAAUCAUAGAUACACAAAGAAGAAUAACACUUGGCAUUGGUAUAUUGCUAAAAGGUUUGCAUGGGCAGCUAUGGAUAAAGUGCUAAGCCUGGAGUCCAAGAGACUCAUCUUUCUGACUUCAAAUCUGGCUUCAGACACUUGCUUAGCUUGUGACCCUGUACAAGUCAUUUAUCCCUGUUUGCCUGUUUCCUCAUCUAUAAAAUAAGCACUUUACACAUAUCAUCUCUUUGCUACUCACAAGAUCAAAUCUUAUUACACCCUUUUCAUAGAUGAGCAAAGUGAGACUCAGAGGUUAAGUGAUUUGAACAUAGUCAUAUGACUAAUAAAUGUUGAAGGGAGAAGGUCUAGCUUGACUCCAAGUGCAACACUCUAUCCACUAUACUAAACUGCCUUCCCAGCAAAGUUCUCCAAUCUAUCAAUUAUUCAACCUUGGAUAUACAAUAUUUAUUCAAUGCAGAUAUGCAUGUAGACACAGUCACAAAUAUUUACACAAGUAACCAUUCAUAUACAUGUAUAUCACAAGACAGAAGGGGCAGAGUGAGUAGAAGAGGGAACAUGUACAUAUAUAUGUACAUCCCAAGACGAAGGGGGAAGAGGCGGGUGGGGGAGGAAGGGGCAAGCAUGGAGAGAUACUUCCAGAAGUUUAUCUUCACUUGCUGUCUUGGAGUCCAUCCAGUAAGCUGUGGUUCUUAAUAUGUGGCUUAAAGGACUAUAUGGGAUCAGGUAACUGAAUGUGGGAGUUGCAAAAUUAUGAUUUAUUACCAGUAAAUGUUUGAUUAGUCAACCUAGUUUAUAUUCCCAUGUACUCAGGGUCAAGUAAAAAUGUUUUGAAUGAAAAGGGGUCUCGGGUGGAAAAAGUUUACGAAGCCCUACAGAAGGUCAUCAAAAAAGGAGCUUCAAAAACGUUUCAGAUUAGGAAGGAGGGUCAAAUCUUAGUACAGACCAUUCUAGAUUUAUGUAAAUUUAAAUUGUGCAAAUUCGACUUUACAUUAAGAAUUCUGAAACCACAUUCCCCCCCAAAAAAAACAUCAAUGCUAACUUUACAGUAAUAUGUUCUCUCUGCCUCAGUCUCUCCCACUCCUCCCUUUCCUGGCUCUCCACUGGAUUCUCCCUGGCCUCCCACUUCCCACCAGGAAAAAAAAACCCAAAAGAACAACUCUCUGGCGAAAGAAGAAUAAUGGAAACACAGAGACAUUGCUAGAGCAUAGCUGCCUUCCAUAGGGCCUUGGCCCCAAGAGAUCUUUUCCUACUCCCCCUCCAACCACAGUGGUCACUCCACCCUCUC